GACGAACGCUGGCGGCGUGCUUAACACAUGCAAGUCGAACGGGAUUUCGUAAACAGAAGCCUCGGUGGAAGAUUACUAAUGAGAGUGGCGAACGGGUGAGUAACGCGUGAGCAACCUGCCUAUGACAGUGGGAUAGCCUCGGGAAACCGGGAUUAAUACCGCAUAAAAUCGUAGAAACACAUGUUUUAACGGUCAAAGAUUUAUCGGUCAUAGAUGGGCUCGCGUCUGAUUAGCUAGUUGGUGAGAUAACAGCCCACCAAGGCGACGAUCAGUAGCCGGUCGGAGAGAGUGAACGGCAAAAUUGGAAUUGGGCCACGAUCCAAACUCCGACGGGAGGCAGCAGUGGGGAAAAUUGCACAAGGGGGAAACCCUGAUGCAGCGACGCCGCGUGAACGAAGAAGGUAUUCGUAUCGUAAAGUUCUGUCCUAUGGGAAGAUAAUGACAGUACCAUAGAAGAAAGCUCCGGCUAAAUACGUG
rnacentral:rRNA from 1 species